GGUUCACUGGAGCUUUGUGUGCUGUAUAUGCUGCUGGACCUCCAAUCUACAGCAGGAUCCACUGAUGCACUCAAGAGGCAGAACAAAGAGAGGACCAAAGCAGAGUCUGUGAUGUGACUACAGUUUGACCAGAUUUAUCCAACGCAUCCCUGAACAUCAAACCAGCGGGGAGGCAGCGUGGACGCAUGGAGAGGCAGCAGGGAGGAUGACAUCACUGUCACCCAUGGGAGCCAGGGCCUGCCAUUCAUGCCAGCGGUGUGUAUGUGUGUGUGUGUGUGUGUGUGUGUGUGUGUGUGUGUGUAUCUGUGGGAGCCUCUGUCUCUGUGUGUCACUUCCUGGGAGAGAAUAGAACAGGAAGCAAGAGUGAGAGCAGACAACAAGCGCUCGCCUCACCUCCACAAGGAAGCCUUUCUCCCAAGAGAGCAAA